ACCCUGUAGAUCCGAAUUUGUGUAAAAGGAAGUUGGGUCACAAAUUCGUAUCUAGGGGAAU
rnacentral:pre_miRNA from 1 species